GGAGAUGUAGGCGGAGUCCCGAUGGGCUGGAGAGGCGGGCGGGCUCUGGAUUAUCGGGAGCCCCUGACUGGGCCGAGCCUCGGUCUGGAGGCCGAUGGAGACGUUUUCGACAUCCUGUUCCAGGCACUGACCAUGCAGCUCUGGCAUCCCAAGACUGACCUUGUGCAAGUAGAAAGUCCACAGUUCCCAGAUGGCCUUCAGAGGCAGCCAUCAUCAGGGGAGUACGACCUUGCUUGUCUGCCAUGUUGACAUCAGCUCCAUGGUUCCUGUCUAGAACUCACCCCUACCUGAGGGACUGGAAGUAGCUACCCUGCUUACCUGCCAGUGGCCCUGGCGCACAGUGCUGAACAGGGGCACUGCCCCUCGGCGGUUUGGCUGGGCCACUGCUGCCCCCUGUUCCAAGAGCAGACGGCACACCUCCAGCUUGCCCCUUCCGGCUGCAGCUGUCAGUGCUAAGGGCAGAGAACACAGACUGAGAACAGAUGUUCCAGUUUAGACUUGGGGGAAAGACAACAAUCAUUUCCUGCAAAGGCCACAAGGAAGAAGCUUCUGUUUCUGUAGUGGAGUUACUUUGAUGGGAGAAAUAUUUAUACCUAACUGCUACAAGAAUCCCAUAAAAGAAGAGAGAGGCCACAACUAUUUUCUGCUCUAGUUUGGCACAUUGUAAGGAAACUUUCAGUCUUUUACAAUUAUUUGGAAACAAGAGCAGGGUAAAGUUUUGGUUGAAAGACGACUCCGGUGCUAAUGAUUUGGAGAAUCCAAAGGGAAAGAGGAUUGGAAGAAGGACAUUGCUUGACUUUUUACUUUGGCUGAAUCAAUCUCCAGUACAAAAACCAUAAGACGGAGACUGCCAAAGGUAUGCCAGAGGAAAAAUCAGGGUGUGAGAUGCAGAGUAUCUCCACACGAACACAACACAUUAAUGAGAAAAGGGAGUAAUGUCCAUGAGAAGUACCUGUCUCUCCCCAGAGACUGUCAAAACUGUUGAUCUGUGCUCGCUCUACUUCUUCUUCAUCUUUUUCUGGAAGAUCAAGUAGGUAGGAGACAAUCUGGAACGAGAAGUUGUGUCAGUUCAAACUUCAGGUGGGAAACUAUGCUACCAGCUCUGGCCUGUGAGGUUUGAAAGAUGCCUGGAUGACCCAAGUGUGACGCAAUCGCUUGCACACAGAAGAAACCAGAACCGACUAUCCCAGCAAAGAAACCCAAAGUGGCCAUGAUGAAUAUUUGUUUUGUCGGGUACAGUUUAUACAUUUCUCUUGAACACAACUCACUUACACAGCAUGUGAUUUUUAAAAAAAUUAUUUAUUCCUCAUCUUUAAGUUAAAGAAGCAAACCCUCAUCCUCCCAAUAAAAAUACCAAUAAAGAGAAAAAAACCAAUCAAUCAGUAAAAACCAGAAAACAAAUAUGGAGAAAAUGUAGGGCCUCUAUUUCAUCAGAGUAGAGCAAUGAUCUUUUUUCUGCUCGGAAGUACAAGGACUGCUUUGGGGAUAAUAAAGGGAGAAUGACUAUUAAUAUUAAAGGAAAGCGACAGCUCUGUUUCCAGGAAUUUACCUGUAGAGAGAGUUUAAAAACCUACAGAUAUUAAAAAUUCCAGUUUUACUUAAUAUUCCCUUGGUGACAUACGAAGUCAGUUGGCAGGGGAGCUGUUUCACUGGUGAGCCAACGUGUUCUGGCCCCUGAAAGCGGAGCAUUACAUUUUCAGGAAUUCUGUAAGCCGGUUAUUAGAUGAAGAUGUUUAUUAAAAAUUAAAUAACAAAUUAUAUUAAAAACAAAGUAAAAAAUAAAA